rnacentral:rRNA from 1 species
CGGAACGGGUGAGUAACGCGUGAGGAACCUGCCUCAAAGAGGGGGACAACAGUUGGAAACGACUGCUAAUACCGCAUAAGCCCACGGGUCGGCAUCGACCUGAGGGAAAAGGAGCAAUCCGCUUUGAGAUGGCCUCGCGUCCGAUUAGCUAGUUGGUGAGGUAAUGGCCCACCAAGGCGACGAUCAGUAGCCGACCUGAGAGGGUGAUCGGCCACAUUGGGACUGAGACACGGCCCAA